rnacentral:sRNA from 1 species
AGCUCCUGUUUCCGCUGCUCUGCUGCCUGCCCGGGGUACCAACAUGGCCCAGAAGCGUCCUGCCUGCACCCUGAAGCCUGAGUGUGUCCAGCAGCUGCUGGUUUGCUCCCAGGAGGCCAAGAAGUCAGCCUACUGCCCCUACAGUCACUUUCCUGUGGGGGCUGCCCUGCUCACCCAGGAGGGGAGAAUCUUCAAAGGGUGCAACAUAGAAAAUGCCUGCUACCCGCUGGGCAUCUGUGCUGAACGGACCGCUAUCCAGAAGGCCGUCUCAGAAGGGUACAAGGAUUUCAGGGCAAUUGCUAUCGCCAGUUUGGCACCAACUGGCCCGUGUACAUGACCAAGCCGGAUGGUACGUAUAUUGUCAUGACGGUCCAGGAGCUGCUGCCCUCCUCCUUUGGGCCUGAGGACCUGCAGAAGACCCAGUGACAGCCAGAGAAUGCCCUCCGCCUGUAACAGCCACCUGGAGAACUUCAUAAAGAUGUCUCACAGCCCUGGGGACACCUGCCCAGUGGGCCCCAGCCCUACAGGGACUGGGCAAAGAUGAUGUUUCCAGAUUACACUCCAGCCUGAGUCAGCACCCCUCCUAGCAACCUGCCUUGGGACUUAGAACACCGCCGCCCCCCUGCCCCACCUUUCCUUUCCUUCCUGUGGGCCCUCUUUCAAAGUCCAGCCUAGUCUGGACUGCUUCCCCAUCAGCCUUCCCAAGGUUCUAUCCUGUUCUGAGCAACUUUUCUAAUUAUAAACAUCACAGAACAUCCUGGA